rnacentral:rRNA from 1 species
CCUACGGGAUGCAGCAGUGAGGAAUAUUGGUCAAUGGACGAGAGUCUGAACCAGCCAAGUAGCGUGAAGGAUGACUGCCCUAUGGGUUGUAAACUUCUUUUAUAUGGGAAUAAAAUGUUCCACGUGUGGGAUUUUGUAUGUACCAUAUGAAUAAGGAUCGGCUAACUCCGUGCCAGCAGCCGCGGUAAUACGGAGGAUCCGAGCGUUAUCCGGUUUUAUUGGGUUUAAAGGGAGCGUAGGUGGAUUGUUAAGUCAGUUGUGAAAGUUUGCGGCUCAACCGUAAAAUUGCAGUUGAAACUGGCAGUCUUGAGUACAGUAGAGGUGGGCGGAAUUCGUGGUGUAGCGGUGAAAUGCUUAGAUAUCACGAAGAACUCCGAUUGCGAAGGCAGUUCACUGGACUGCAACUGACACUGAGGCUCGAAAGUGUGGGUAUCAAACAGGAUUAGAUACCCCAGUAGUC